AACCAGCAUUCUUUGUCGUAGGAUCUGCCAAGUAAUUUUUACACGUUAUCCAAAAUACCUAAGAACAUUCAGUUUUCAACAAGGUGUCUCAUUUUCCUCAAAACACAAGGGUACAUUCUUAGGCACAAAUACGCAAUAUGAACCUUGAAUCGAUUAGAUGAUAUAGCAACGCAUUUAUGUAUUGAACAGCUGCAUUUGCAGUAUUGCCUGGAUUUGGAAAGCGAGAUCAUCUGCACUCGAGAUCUUGAAAAGGAUUGCAAUUACUUUAGGCAACACGGAAAAUCAGUUCCAAAGACAGUAUGCACUGGCGAGGAGGAAAUUAUCGGUGUGAAAAUGAUUAAAAUGGGAAUGUGUGGCAGUGUUGGCAGCCUUCGUUUGGCAGUCACGUGACCAAAUAGUCUCUCCUCGUAUACACAGACUCAGUUCAAAAUGGUCAAGUGUGGAAAUCCCGUCACAUAGAUUUCGCUCCUCGCAAACGGUCGCAUUUUCGGUGUCGCAACGAAGUCAUAACCUCGACAAAUGAUCUCAUCACUUCUCUCAAGAGUUGUCAUAUGGAUUCUUUUCCACUGUGACCUAACUUCACUCCACCAUUUCUUUCACUCUUCGCGGAUUUAGUGUUGAUACUUACUCCGUUGAUUAAUUGUAGUUUAAAGGAGUCUGGUAAUUUGUCACAGAUAUUUUCAGGCUUUCCUUAUUUGUUUUUCUCUUACAUAAAUAUUUUAUGAACUUCGGGCAUAUAUAAUUGUGAUGUAAAGUACUUUGAAAAGUUGGUUAUUUAUCACGAGAUUGUUAGCAACUUGCUCGUUAUAUUCUUGUUAUUCGGUUUUGAUUGUCUGGCGAGGAGUUGAAAUUCAUUCCCCUCAAAAAUAUUACCUCAGAUAUUCUAAGUGAUUUUAUCUCCGCCAGAUGUCUCACCCUAAUGGCAUUCAGAUCCGAAUUACCAUAUUUUUCGAUGAUGGGGGCAGACUGGUGGUAUACAUCCCCCGUCAGUUUUCAGCCUUCCGGACUCCCCCACCUCCCUCCCCCUUUCUCGCUAGCCGCCCUCAACACUAUCCUCCCCCCUCGCUGCUAUGAUGGACGGGUUAAUUGAAUAAUUUGCGUCAACUCCCGUCUCAGCGACGGUGGUCUUACUUUCUUGUUAAACUGUCCUUAGUGGAGACUUCUAGAUUUUUUUCUUUAAGAUGAAGCUCUUGGUUCUUAUACUAAUGAAAAUACUGUUGGAUGUCAGUAUGAUGUAGCCCUUUUAAUGAAAUGUAAAAACUACAA